CUCCCCCAUCUUUUUCAAUCCUUUUUUUUUCUCUGGCACGUGGGUCCUGCCUGACAGGUCGUCCCCUAGCUCCAACAGAGACCAUGAACUGUACGAGUUCGUCUCCAGAACUAACCACCAAAAUCUCCGGUUCUCGCUCGAUCUUUACUCGUUUCGCACGAAAUAAAAUUCCUAUAAAUACCCCAACAUCUCCUCCUUUCUUUCCCCUUUGAAACCCUAAAAAAAUAAGGCCGCCAUGCCGCCAGAUUUCACCGUCGAAGAUCUUUUUUCGAUAAAGACCGUCGCUGCCAUUAGAUCCUUUUUUCGAAGAUCUGCCGCCGUCGCUGCCAUUAGAGCCCGGUUGAGCUCGAACUCGAGAGCAUAGAUAUACUUGCAGUUCUUUGCCAGAGUAUCGCCGGAGUUUGUCGCCGCCGAAGUCUACAUUCACUAGCAGCCGCCGUUCUGGAAAGAGAGAGUUGACACGAAGGUGGCAAACGGUCUCUCCACAAGAAGCCGCUCGUCGUCGUCCACAAGGAACCGCUCGUCGUCGUCCACUUCACCGGGUCCAAGAAACACCGGAGCGGCAUCGCUGGGACGCUCGCAGCCAGGCGCCGUCCACAUGCUCAACGUCCUCCAACACUGCGAACCGUUGUACGGAGAGCUACGAGUUUUGAUUGAGAGAAGAGCAGAAUUCUUCAGAUACCAAA